CCCGGCCCGUCCCCGCGCGCGCCGGGGGCUGUGGCGCUGCGGGCCGCAGCUGUCAGGGGAGCGGCGGGGGGAGCGGGGAGACAAAGAACAUGGCGAGGGAAGGAGGAGCCUGCGCUGGCGGCGGCGGAGCGCCCCCGCCCCGGCCCCUCCUCCGCCGCCGGGCAGGGCGCUCGGGGCAGGACAAUGCCCGGCCCGGCCGGCGGCGGCCCGCGGGGCGGCGGCGCCUCGGGGGGCGGCGCGGGCCCUUCGCCUUCGCCCCCGCCCCCGCGCAAGCGGCCCCGGCGCGGCGCCCGGCCGCGUCCGCGGACCCUCGGGACGGGACGGGACGGGACGGGACGGGACGGGACGGGGCGGGAGGCGGCCCGGCGCGGGGCCCGCCCGCCCGCCCGCCCGCCAGCCACAAGUUUUGCCCGGACUCGGGAAGUUCGGCUCGGCUCGGCUCGGCUCGGCUUGGCGGCGCGGCCCGGCCCAGAUUCCUGGAAACUUGAGGAGCAGUCUUCCAGCGGCUGAGGAAUGCAGUUCUCCCCGGAUGUGUGGGUAUCUUGCAUAAAUCGAACUGAAGUGGGAUGGACUGGUAGUAAGAAGCAUGACUUCAUCAAGAGAUUCAGGAAUACUUUGGAGUGAAUUGGCAGGAAGCCUUGCAAUACAACUUUGACAAUAAUAGUCGCUGUCCUCUGGAGAUGUUGAAGCUAAGCUUUCUUGUGAACUUCCUUCUUGCACCUCUCCACAUGUGCACAAAGGACUUAACACUGUUUAGAAUUCGUAUGGUAUAAAAUAAUCAUGGAUAUGCUUUUUUCUUCCUUGACUUGAUGUCUGCAUGUUUCCUGUAGUCAGCAAUGAAAUCUGUCCUAGAUCUGCUGACAUUUGGUCUGUUUUCAAAAGCUCUGAGUGACAGGUACUGUAAACAUCCUACACUCUCAGCUGUGGAAACUAAGAAAGCUGGGAGAAGGCUGUUUACUCUCCCUGCCUUGGAAAUCACCUGGAUGGACAAGGACAUAAGCACAUAAUAACAUAAACAUAUGCCAUCAAUGUCUGAUAUUCUGACUGAGAUUCUAACUGAUAAUAAAAAAGGGCUGUACUUAUAAACAUACUUCAGCUGCACUGCUGGUUUGAGGAAACCUAGUAGCGGUAACAUAUUCUAGUAUUUUCAACCUUAAAUAAUGGUGUUCUAUACAGUAGUCCAAAAGUAAUCUAAAACAGAUCUAUUGCGCUCUGUUUAUAGGUGCUUGUAAGUACAAGUUACAGUAUAGUCAUCCUUAAGUUCACACAUCAGCACAGUAUUUAAAUAAAAUCAUCCUUAAAUGUUUGGUUCUUGUGUUCUAAGAUUCACUUAAUUCAUGUUUUCCUGCUCAGAAGAGUUAGAAAUGGAGUUCAAAAGGCAAAAAAAAAGUUCUAGAGGACUUCAGCUUUCAAUUCCUGUUAUUGGGUAGACAAAGUUGAGAGAUGUCAACACUGAUCAGUUCUGUCCCUAAAUUAACUGAAUUGAGAGAGAGAAAUGUAUUUAGCUUACACUUCCUACUUGCUUUUCUCUGCCAUCUGCCCUCCACAUUGUAUUAUUCUUUGUAAUCUGACAACCCUUCUCUUUCUCUUCCUCCUUAAGUUUCUUUUAUUAUAUUUGUUAUUAGCUAAAUAGGGCUUCUCAUUCUAAAUUUAGAAUAAGAUGGGGAAAAAAAUGCCCCUUUAACUCUGAUAUCCUGCUGGCAUGGUCUAAAUCCUCAUGAAAUGUGGUUUUGUUGCUGCUCUUAAGCAGAGCAGUGACUUUGCAGAAGGGGACAUCUUUUGAGCUCUCUAAGAAUUUUUUCGUAAUGCAAUUGAGUUCUUAGGAUCACCUUCUAGCUCCUUUUGCGAUACCGUUCGUUCUCUCUCUCUCUCUCUCUCUCUCUCUCUCUCUCUCUCUCUCUCUCUCUCUUUUCCAGAUCCUGCUGUCUCAGCUUUACUAAAGGUAUUUAAACAUAAACCUCUGAAAUAAAAACUGCCCUGAAGAGUUUAAAUAUCAGGAUUUGAAAAGUGAUGGGACAGGGAAGACAACAGGAGAAUUGUAGAAGAUCAUGUAAGGAUAUGAAGUACUACUUCUCUUACAAAAGGGGCUAAAAAGAAUUCAAACCAUUAGGCACCCCCCCUCAGCUUCCCCCCCCCCCCAAAAAAAAUCAAUGAUUUGAAAUAAUAAAUUAUUUUUCAGGUUAUGGUUUGUGUUUCUUUUGGACAAAGGAAUUGGAGAGGAAGACAGUGGUCAGGGUCUGUGUAGGCAAGGAGUAAGUCAUGAAUAAAAAUUGGGUUGAAGUCUGGCUGUGAAGUAAUAAACAUGAAUGCUUCAGGUUUGAAGAUUUUUUUUAAACUUAUGAUUUAUAUAGUGAUAUUCAGAGUAAUGCAGAGUUAGUCUUCUAAAACCUUUGCUUUAAGAAGACAGCCACUCAGGCUAGUCAGAUGACAGUGUAGAAUUUUCCAACAUGCAUGGUUCCUUUGGCAGAGAGACAUCUCCAGUGGUGAUGGAGCACACAGUUAAUAUCCUCCACUGUAUGACAGUACUGAUUGUAGGCUAUGCUGUUGAGGAAAGACGAUCUGAAAGGAGGUAGUGGUAACCAGAAUUUGUUUUUGAUUUAGAUUUUCUGUAGGUUUGGAAAAAUUAUUUUGUGUCAAAUGGAAAAGCUUCUCUGUAUUUAGCAUUACCUACUUGUCCAUUUAAUGAUGAAGUUGAAGGUGGAAUUUCACUAUGGUAAAUCAGGACUGUCAUAGUCUUUCUCACCUUCUUCCCUGGCCACUCCUGUUCUCUCACUUGUGCUGAUGUGAAUGUUUACAUAAACAAUGAGCUAGUUCAGCAGCUUGGCCUAGCUGAAAAUUAAACUAAUAAAGACUACUUUGGGAUUAGCUGAGUAAAAGCUUAGUCCACCACUGUGCUUUUUGUGAGGCUGUAGCCUAAAAUGCUAGUGCAAAUGCUAAUUCCUUUGCAUAUGGCCACUCUUCUGAAGAACUAGAACAGACGUUAUUCUAAAUGUAAAUUGAAUUCCUAGUAUAAUAAAAAGGUGAAAUUACAGGAUUUGGUGUAUUUGUUACUGAUAUUAAAUUCUAUUUAUGCCAUUUGAAAGAAAUUACAAACAUGGUGCUAUAUUACACUCACAGUUAACCAAAAUUUUUGUUUCCUUGGAAGCGAUUCAUGCUUAUAUCUCUGUCUUCGAAAGAUCUGUAAGUGAAGUCUAAUCUGUAAAUUGUGUUAGUAAUAGGGAGCUACCAAUAAUUUUGCUACCUCCAGACCUUUAAUUGUAAAGGUAUCCUCUGAAGUAUUUGCACCAAUCUGAGCACUGUAUAAGAUACAUUAUAUAUUGCUAGUUUUUUUUUUCCCCCCCUGCAUCACUCACCAAGCCAAAGGCAAACAUUAUGUCUUUUUCUCUUGUUAAUCUCCAACUUCAAAGAGUUUAGGGUUUUUUUCAGACUGUCAAUUAAAUAUGGAGCUUUCCUGUUGUGAAAAAACAUACAGGGCUUUUACAAAAGCUGGUUGUCGGUAAUGAGUUUUGGAUUGAGUUCAUAGAGAGGUAAUCUGGAUAGCUACCACAGCAACUUAAUCUGUGGGAAAUCUUUGUAGGCAUGAGAUGUUUUUUAUUAAAGCAUGGUUCUGCCAAGAUGCAAAACUGACUUGCUCCAAGUGAUUCUUGGCACUACCCAGGACAAUAUCAUUCUUGCAUGUUAAACUCAAUAUGUUGCACUGAUUUUUGGAAUGAGGAAGAGGAGGAUAGUUGUUGCUUAUCAUGUUUCCUCAUUGGUAAAUUUAGGAGUUUGGGGAAAGAAAAUUACGGCACUGUAUGAUGUUAAGGAAACUUAGCACGUAAAUGAAGCGCAAAAUGUAUGUUGGGGGGGUUAAAAAAAAGCUACACUUUUGACUAAUUGACUACCCUUUGGGUAAUUGCCUUACAUCCCCUUCGAUAGUGCAGGGAGCGAUUGUGGGAAGAAAGAAUGCUUGGGAGUCCUUGGACAGAGUUGUUUGUUGUUUGGAGACUGCAGCCUGACCUUGAGGUUUACAAGUGAAAUAUUAGCAAAACACUCUAUUAAAAAAAAUUUCAAAGAGCUGCUAGUGAGGGAAAGGAGAGGUGAAAGGGGAAGAGAAUGUUGGCUUAUUUAUCAUCUGAAGGGGGGGUGGGGGAGAAUAAUAUACUGUUAACUUUAAUAGUAUAAACACAUUCUUGAUGUUACAGUGAAAGACAGCAGCAAUUAUCCUUGAUGCCUAUGCAAAAGUCAAGUCCUUUUUUUAUGCAUCAAAUUGUAUUGUCAAUGAUUCUAAUUCUGUGCAUGACAGUUUACAGGCCUAUGACAGCUAUCAUACUUUGAAGACCUCUAUCUAGAUUGAAGGAAAAAAAAAGUUUGCUUUGAAUCAAAAAGGGGGGGAAAAACCCACAAUAUGUGGAAUUCAGUCAUAACUGAAGCCAUAACUGCCCAUGAAGUAGAAGAGUGGAUUCUAAUCAGAUUUGAUAUUUGUGUGCUGUAAUUGAGAUAUGAUUUUAUUGUGAUCUUUUUAUCUUGAUAAAAUCAUGAUAAAAACAUGUAAAAGCAGCUUUCUUUGUGUAAGAUGCAAGCAGGUGUGAAACAUCUGUAAUAAAAAUACUAUGUGUUCAUAUUCUAAUAUAGUUAAGAUUGGAUGGCACCUCUGGAGAUCACCUGGUCCAACCCCCCUGCUCAAGCAGUGUCAGCUAGAGCAGGUUAUCCAGGACCAUGUCCAGACUCCAUUUCCAAGGAUGGAGACUCCAAAACCCCAUCUGGGCAAGCAGUAUGCAAAGACUUUAAAACCUAAAAAUACAUUAACUUGAAAUCUGAACAAACACUUUUACUUCAAUGCAAGCUUUCUUCAAAAUUAUGUUCUCUCUAAAAAAACCUUUGUAUAAACCAAUUCUCUUAAAAAGCAGUUUUAAUUAAACAGAAUGGAAGAGCUGAA